UCUAUUGUUUAUGCCUCACGAUAAAGUAGGCAGAAAAACCUAUCUUUACGCGUUGGUCGUGAUCGAUA
rfam:Nematostella vectensis strain CH2 x CH6 NEMVEscaffold_912_Cont33896, whole genome shotgun sequence.